rnacentral:rRNA from 1 species
AGUGAACGCUGGCGGUAGGCCUAACACAUGCAAGUCGAACGGCAGCACAGUAAGAGCUUGCUCUUACGGGUGGCGAGUGGCGGGCGGGUGAGGAAUACAUCGGAAUCUACUUUUUCGUGGGGGAUAACGUAGGGAAACUUACGCUAAUACCGCAUACGACCUACGGGUGAAAGCAGGGGAUCUUCGGACCUUGCGCGAUUGAAUGAGCCGAUGUCGGAUUAGCUAGUUGGCGGGGUAAAGGCCCACCAAGGCGACGAUCCGUAGCUGGUCUGAGAGGAUGAUCAGCCACACUGGAACUGAGACACGGUCCAGACUCCUACGGGAGGCAGCAGUGGGGAAUAUUGGACAAUGGGCGCAAGCCUGAUCCAGCCAUACCGCGUGGGUGAAGAAGGCCUUCGGGUUGUAAAGCCCCUUUGUUGGGAAAGAAAAGCAGCAGGUUAAUACCCCGCUGUUCUGACGGUACCCAAAGAAUAAGCACCGGCUAACUUCGUG